UAGUAAUCGCGAAUCAGAAUGUCGCGGUGAAUACGUUCCCGGGUCUUGUACACACCGCCCGUCACACCAUGGGAGUCGGAAAUGCCCGAAGUCAGUGACCGAACCGAAAGGAAGGAGCUGCCGAAGGUGGAGCCGGUAACUGGGGUGAAGUCGUAACAAGGUAAC
rnacentral:rRNA from 1 species